rnacentral:rRNA from 1 species
GAUGAACGCUGGCGGCGUGCCUAAUACAUGCAAGUCGAGCGAACGGACGAGAAGCUUGCUUCUCUGCUGUUAGCGGCGGAUGGGUGAGUAACACGUGGAUAACCUACCUAUAAGACUGAGAUAACUUCGCGAAACCGGAGCUAACACCGGAUCAGAUUUUGAACCGCAUGGUUCAACAGUGCAAGCCCUUCCUGCUGUCCCUUUUUGAUGGUUCCGCGCUGCAUUAGCUAGUUGCUAGGGUAACGGCUUACCAAGGCAACGAUGCAUAGCCGACCUGAGAGGGUGAUCAGCCACACUGGAACUGAGACACGGUCCAGACUCCUACGGGAGGCAGCAGUGGGGAAUAUUCCGCAAUGGGCGAAAGCCUGACGGAGCAACGCCGCGUGAGUGAAGAAGGUCUUCGGAUCGUAAAACUCUGUUAGUAGGGAAGAACAGAAGUAUAAGUAACUGUGCACGUCUUGACGGUACCAAAACAGAAAGCCACGGCUAACUACGUG